CGGCGGCAGCUUAUACAUGCAGUCGAACGAGAAAGUCACUUCGGUGGCGAGUACAGUGGCGCACGGGUGAGUAACGCGUAGAUGAUCUACCCUUCAGUCUGGGACAACUCUUGGAAACGGGAGCUAAUACCGGAUAAAACCUUCGGGUUGAAAGAUUUAUCGCUGGGGGAUGAGUCUGCGUACCAUUAGCUUGUUGGUGGGGUAACGGCCUACCAAGGCGACGAUGGUUAGCGGGUCUGAGAGGACGAUCCGCCACACUGGAACUGAGACACGGUCCAGACUCCUACGGGAGGCAGCAGUAGGGAAUAUUGCGCAAUGGGGGCAACCCUGACGCAGCAAUGCCGCGUGAGUGAAGAAGGCCUUCGGGUCGUAAAGCUCUUUUAUGGGGGAAGAUGAUGACGGUACCCCAUGAAUAAGCACCGGCUAACUACGUGCCAGCAGCCGCGGUAAUACGUAGGGUGCGAGCGUUGUUCGGAAUUACUGGGCGUAAAGGGCGUGCAGGCGGAUUGGCAAGCCGGAGGUGAAAGCCCGGGGCUCAACCCCGGAGGGUCUUUCGGAACUGCCAGUCUUGAGAGGGUCAGGGGCCAGCGGAAUUCCUGGUGUAGAGGUGAAAUUCGUAGAGAUCAGGAGGAACACCGGCGGCGAAAGCGGCUGGCUGGGGCCACUCUGACGCUGAGGCGCGAAAGCGUGGGGAGCAAACAGGAUUAGAUACCCUGGUAGUCCACGCCGUAAACGAUGGGCACUAAGCGUCCGACGGGUUCGA
rnacentral:rRNA from 1 species